AUUUGAUAGAGGGUUCCCUCUUUUCUCAGAAGCUGUUGUGCAAUCAAGUGUACAAGAAGAUGGUGCAGCUGACAGGUAGAGCAAGUGAGCUGCAGGAAUCAGACCUCAUGAAAAAAUCAUCUGGUAAUUGUUUUUCACCAGAGAGGAGUGGCACCUCUAAGGGAAUGGUGGAAGGACACUUCGGUUUCAGGGCACGCUGCUGACCAGACAUCCUCCAGCACCCUACCUCUUUCUUAGAGGUAAAAUCACCCAGCUUUACUAACUCUGACAUCACAAAAACUUCAUUAGUCAUCUGGUGAGAAGAAUAAAUAGAGCUAGACACAGAAGCAAAACCCAGAAGCAGCAAGCUGUCAGUUUUCAUCAGCUUGUUACUGAUCUGCCUUUGAUGUUUCUGG